GGCUGGUCUGAAGGUAAUUAUCUCAAUCGAUUGUUCACAGUCAGUUACAGAUUGAACUCCUUGUUCUAUUCUUUUCCUCCUUCUCACUACAGUACUUGACUAGUCUUUU
rnacentral:Y_RNA from 1 species